ACCGACCGUGAGCGCUCGGCGCGCACGGUAUCCAAGACAGGCAGUGCCACGGGAAGAUCUGGGCACUUCAGGGCGUU
rnacentral:sRNA from 22 species